AGAGUGAACGCUGGCGGCAGGCCUAACACAUGCAAGUCGAACGGCAGCACAGGGGAGCUUGCUCCCUGGGUGGCGAGUGGCGGACGGGUGAGGACAACGUCGGAAUCUGCCUUUUUGUGGGGGAUAACGUAGGGAAACUUACGCUAAUACCGCAUACGACCCCAGGCCGGGAGGUUUGGGGUGAAAGCGGAGGACCUUCGGGCUUCGCGCAGAGAGAUGAGCCGACGUCGGAUUAGCUAGUUGGUGGGUAAAGGCCCACCAAGGCGACGAUCCGUAGCUGGUCUGAGAGGAUGAUCAGCCACACUGGAACUGAGACACGGUCCAGACUCCUACGGAGGCAGCAGUGGGGAAUAGUUGGACAAUGGGCGCAAGCCUGAUCCAGCCAUGCCGCGUGUGUAGAAGGAAGUCCGUUCGGUUGUAAAAGCACGUUUUUUGUUAGGGGAAAGAAAAGUACACGUUACGGUUAAGUAACCCGGGUGUAACGU
rnacentral:rRNA from 1 species